UACAAUGAUAAAUUAACUUGAAGAAUUACAUGUGCCAUCUUAUGAAGAGUGUUAUUCCUUUUAUGAGGUCCAGCUGCUGUUUUUUCCUACAAUGUGGAGGAGUGACUGAGUUCAGUUUCUUACCAAUAUCUGCUGAGCUCCACAAGUGAGCAAAUACCAUUAGGAGAGAUGCCAUUGGAGCUUUUGUACCAUAAAAUCCAUCCAACAAAAUACUUGUGCCGAGGACAUGAUGAAUGCUUAAAUUCAUGGAAAUUAAAGAACCAUAAGUAUUGUAUAUAUUUAUAUAUAUAUAUAUACCUUUCAGAAAACAUACAUAACUGCAUCUACCGAGUCCAAAGCUUUUCCCAAGCUGAUAUACGAAGGGAAGCACUGAUGCUUCCACUCUACAACGACGCUACACCCUUCUUAGUUAAUGAUCUUUUUUGGUUGGUGGUUUAGAUGACAUGCUUUGUUGUUUUGAAGUGAAUUCUGCCAACAAUUCGUCGAUCUCCGCUGAGGUGAAGUUCGUCCGGGGAGGAGGGUCAGAGCGGGGCGCCAUGGUCGGCUUCUUCGGCUGCGGCGGCGGCGGCGGGCACACGGGCUCGGGGAUCCUGUGUUCUGCACCCCGCGGUGUGCUGGGUGCCUCUUCCUCCUCCUCUUCCGGCAUGGCCUCCUUGUUAUCACUCAUGAGAGGCGAUGGAAAGUAGGAUGAAGAUGGAGGAGAGCUAUAUCGCACUACUAUAUCUACAAUAUCAUCAUUUUCUUUGUAUCUAUUUAUAGAGAUUAGAGCAUACAAUUUUAAUG
rnacentral:lncRNA from 1 species